rnacentral:rRNA from 1 species
UACGGGGGGAGCAAGCGUUGUUCGGAUUUACUGGGCGUAAAGGGCGCGUAGGCGGCGCAACAAGUCACUUGUGAAAUCUCCGGGCUUAACUCGGAAAGGUCAAGUGAUACUGUUGUGCUAGAGUGCGGAAGGGGCAACUGGAAUUCUCGGUGUAGCGGUGAAAUGCGUAGAUAUCGAGAGGAACACCUGCGGCGAAGGCGGGUUGCUGGGCUGAUACUGACGCUGAGGCGCGAAAGCCAGGGGAGCGAACGGG